CCCUAGCCCCGAUAGAAACGACAUCCUUUUGGGUUGCGGCUGGAGCGAAGCGGAAGCCGUAACCCAAAAGAUACAGUGGAGAGCGGGAAAAAGC
rnacentral:sRNA from 1 species